GCUGGGCAUGGUGGCGCAUGCCUGUAAUCCCAGCUACUCGGGAGGCUGAGGCAGGAGAAUAGCUUGAACCCAGGAGGCAGGGGUUGCAGUGAGCCGAGAUCGUGCCACUGCAUUCCACCCUGGGUGACAGAGCAAGACUCCAUCCCCC
rnacentral:SRP_RNA from 1 species